rnacentral:rRNA from 1 species
ACUAAGCCAUGCGAGUCAAGGGGCUCCCCUUUUGGGGAGCACCGGCGAACGGCUCAGUAACACGUGGCUAACCUACCCUCGGGUGGGGGAUAACCUCGGGAAACUGAGGCUAAUCCCCCAUAGGGGAGGAGGUCUGGAAUGAUCCCUCCCCGAAAGCCCGUAAGGGCGCCCGAGGAUGGGGCUGCGGCGGAUUAGGUAGUUGGUGGGGUAACGGCCCACCAAGCCUACGAUCCGUACGGGCCCUGAGAGGGGGAGCCCGGAGAUGGACACUGAGACACGGGUCCAGGCCCUACGGGGCGCAGCAGGCGCGAAACCUCCGCAAUGCGCGAAAGCGCGACGGGGGGACCCCGAGUGCCCUCCCUCUGGGAGGGCUUUUCCGGAGUGUAAACAGCUCCGGGAAUAAGGGCUGGGCAAGUCCGGUGCCAGCAGCCGCGGUAAUACCGGCGGCCCAAGUGGUGGCCACUGUUAUUGGGCCUAAAGCGUCCGUAGCCGGCCCGGUAAGUCCCUGCUUAAAUCCCGCGGCUUAACCGCGGGGCUGGCAGGGAUACUGCCGGGCUAGGGACCGGGAGAGGCCGGGGGUACCCCAGGGGUAGCGGUGAAAUGCGUUGAUCCCUGGGGGACCACCUGUGGCGAAGGCGCCCGGCUGGAACGGGUCCAACGGUGAGGGACGAAGGCCGGGGGAGCAAACCGGAUUAGAUACCCGGGUAGUCCCGGCUGUAAACUCUGCGGACUAGGUGUCGCGUGCCCUUCGGGGGCACGCGGUGCCGAAGGGAAGCCGUUAAGUCCGCCGCCUGGGGAGUACGGUCGCAAG